AAGAACUAUGACGAGGAACUGGGAGCGGAUAAUCCAGCGCAAACUAACUCUAAACAUGGACCGUGACUACGACUACGACUACGACUACGACUACGAACUGAACUAAACUAACUCUACAAUAAUCUUCCGCGUUGUGUGCUGGGAGGCGCGCGGUAUAUAUGCGGACAUAAUCAGCGUCUAAACCGCUUGCAGCUGAGAGCAAUACAGACCCACGUGAAAUCCCAGCCAAUGACAGAACAGGGAGGAGACAUGACAGAAACAUAAACAAAACACACGUGUCCAGAUGUCAUUACGGUCAACAACGGAAAAGCAGGUGCUCGCGCAUUCGCGCUUCGAGCAGGCUGCUUCAAGGGGGAAUCAUGACAGAGUGGAGAAUGCAGACUACUUCCAGUGUCAGCACUGACUAUUUUGGUUGACUGUAUAUACAAAGAAUUGGCUGGAGAGGGCUUGGACAGCAGCACACUUAUCUGAAAGCUGAAAUGUGUAGGAAGGUGCUAUGUCCCUGUAUCCAUCCAGAAUGAAAGUGGAGGCCAGAUGACUAUUGCACUGAAGGAACACCUUGUCUUCCUGAAUAUACUACAUUUACACCGGUUAUGAGUCAGUUCUGAGAUUUUGGCAGGUUUGCUUUGAUACAGCUAAAAUGCUGUCUUCCUUGUCUAAAUGGCUGCAGUACAAGAAAGUGAUCAUUUUCUGAAACUGAAAGACACUUGGAAUUAAUAAAAAAUAAAUAAAUAAAUAAAUA